rnacentral:tRNA from 1 species
AGCUUGAGUAGUUUAAAGGUAAAACCUUAUUUUCAUACAGUAAAGAUGGAAGUUCAAUUCUCCCCUCAAGCUA